AGUGAACGCUGGCGGCGUGCUUAACACAUGCAAGUCGAACGAGAACGGGAUAUAGCUUGCUAUAUUUGUCAGCUAAGUGGCGCACGGGUGAGUAAUGUAUAGAUAACCUGCCCUCUAGAAAGGAAUAACAGUUGGAAACGACUGCUAAUGCCCUAUAUGCCUUUAAUACAUAAGUAUGCAAGGGAAACGCUUUAGUGCUAGAGGAUGGGUCUGUAUGGUAUCAGUUUGUUGGUGAGGUAAUGGCUCACCAAGGCUAUGACGCCUAACUGGUUUGAGAGGAUGAUCAGUCACACUGGAACUGAGCCACGGUCCAGACUCCUACGGGAGGCAGCAGUGGGGAAUAUUGCACAAUGGACGAAAGUCUGAUGCAGCAACGCCGCGUGGAGGAUGACACAUUUCGGUGCGUAAACUCCUUUUAUAUAGGAAGAUAAUGACGGUACUAUAUGAAUAAGCACCGGCUAACUCCGUGCCAGCAGCCGCAGUAAGAC
rnacentral:rRNA from 1 species